rnacentral:misc_RNA from 1 species
GAAUGGUCAAUUUGCAAUAUGACACAGCUUCUCUCCAUUCUUCCAACUCCAUCAACAUCUGAUAAAGCCUCUCAACAUUUGAAACAGCUAAACGCCGAUCUUGAAGGCCUCUUUGCGACUCCUCUAUUGACACGCACGCGGCACGCUCUCUUCUCCUCCUGCCACCAGAACGUUCAAAAUGCCCGCUGUUAUAAAGUAGCAAAAAGUUACGAGUUAAGCCGUCUCAACCGAACCAUGAAUACGAUGGGUCCCAUACUUAUUAAAAUCUACGGCUGUAAAGCCGCCUGUGAGAAAAUAUUUUCAAGCAUUGCUGUGCCAAUAACUCUUAUAGUUUCCUCCGUCCCUGUAAUGAGAAAAGCCUCCUUCUCAGAAUAACCGAAGGAGAACUUCUCUGGCUCAUGCCACCCUUGAGUUGCCUCCUACGAUUUACCUCUCUGUCGUUUCGCUUUCUAGACAAGCGCAUAUCUGAAAGAACCAAAACGAACUACGCCCUCUGCCGAUCAGUAGCCUCCAUGGAUAGCGGCGGCGGCGGCAGCAGUAGUAGCUCGACCUGUACGCUGGUAUUAUCUGGAAAAUCAACAGCAGAGAAGGAAAUCGCUGAAUCUGUGAAGAAGAAUAGUGCUAUCAAACUCCCUGACAAUAACGAAGUUUCCAUACUCUUGGAAUCG